rnacentral:rRNA from 1 species
UACGAAGGGAGCUAGCGUUGUUCGGAAUCACUGGGCGUAAAGCGCACGUAGGCGGAUGUGUCAGUCAGGGGUGAAAUCCCGGAGCUCAACUUCGGAACUGCCUUUGAUACAGCACGUCUUGAGUCCGGAAGAGGUGAGUGGAAUUCCGAGUGUAGAGGUGAAAUUCGUAGAUAUUCGGAAGAACACCAGUGGGCGAAGGCGGCUCACUGGACUGGUAUUGACGCUGAGGUGCGAAAGCGUGGGGGAGCAAACAGG